AUACGUAGGGGGCGAGCGUUGUCCGGAAUGAUUGGGCGUAAAGGGCGCGUAGGCGGCCCGGUAAGUCUGGAGUGAAAGUCCUGUUUUUAAGAUGGGAAUUGCUUUGGAUACUGUCGGGCUAGAGUGCAGAAGAGGUAAGCGGAAUUCCCAGUGUAGCGGUGAAAUGCGUAGAGAUUGGGAAGAACACCAGUGGCGAAGGCGGCUUACUGGGCUGUAACUGACGCUGAGGCGCGAAAGCGUGGGGAGCGAACAGGAUUAGAUACCCUGGUAGUCCACGCUGUAAACGAUGAAUGCUAGGUGUAGGGGGUAUCGACCCCUCCUGUGCCGGAGUAAACGCAAUAAGCAUUCCGCCUGGGGAGUACGGCCGCAAGGUUGAAACUCAAAGGAAUUGGCGGGG
rnacentral:rRNA from 1 species